rnacentral:rRNA from 1 species
GAUGAACGCUGGCGGCGUGCCUAAUACAUGCAAGUCGAGCGAACAGACGAGGAGCUUGCUCCUCUGACGUUAGCGGCGGACGGGUGAGUAACACGUGGAUAACCUACCUAUAAGACUGGGAUAACUUCGGGAAACCGGAGCUAAUACCGGAUAAUAUAUUGAACCGCAUGGUUCAAUAGUGAAAGACGGUUUUGCUGUCACUUAUAGAUGGAUCCGCGCCGCAUUAGCUAGUUGGUAAGGUAACCGCUUACCAAGGCAACGAUGCGUAGCCGACCUGAGAGGGUGAUCGUCCACACUGGAAUUGAGACUAGUGCUAGACCUCUAGGGGAGGCAGCAGUAGGGAACUUUCCGCAAUGGGCGAAAGCCUGUCGUAGCAACGCCGCGUGAGUGAUGAAGCUCUUCGGAUCGUAAAACUCUGUUAUUAGGAAGAACAAAUGUGUAAGUAACUAUGCACGUCUUGACGGUACCUAAUCAGAAAGCCACGGCUAACUACGUG